rnacentral:rRNA from 1 species
UCGGGAAUUUUGCGCAAUGGACGAAAGUCUGACGCAGCAACGCCGCGUGAGGGAUGAAGGCCUUCGGGUUGUAAACCUCUUUUGUCAGGGACGAUGAUGACGGUACCUGACGAAUAAGUCACGGCUAACUACGUGCCAGCAGCCGCGGUAAUACGUAGGUGACAAGCGUUGUCCGGAUUUACUGGGCGUAAAGAGCGCGCAGGCGGUCGUUCAAGUCGAGUGUGAAAGCCCCCGGCUCAACUGGGGAGGGUCAUUCGAUACUGAUCGACUCGAAGGCAGGAGAGGGAAGUGGAAUUCCCGGUGUAGUGGUGAAAUGCGUAGAUAUCGGGAGGAACACCAGUGGCGAAGGCGACUUCCUGGCCUGUUCUUGACGCUGAGGCGCGAAAGCUAGGGGAGCAAACGGG